CCUACGUGAGGCUUCAGUGAGGAAUAUUGGUCAAUGGGCGUAAGCCUGAACCAGCCAAGUCGCGUGAGGGAUGAAGGUUCUCUGGAUCGUAAACCUCUUUUAUAAGGGAAUAAAGUGCGGGACGUGUCCCGUUUUGUAUGGACCUUAUGAAUAAGGAUCGGCUAACUCCGUGCCAGCAGCCGCGGUAAUACGGAGGAUCCGAGCGUUAUCCGGAUUUAUUUGGUUUAAAGGGUGCGUAGGCGGCAUUUUAAGUCAGCGGGGAAAGUCUGUGGCUCAACCAUAGAAUUGCCGUUGAAACUGGGAGGCUUGAGUAUGUGUGAGGAAGGCGGAAUGCGUGGUGUAGCGGUGAAAUGCUUAGAUAUCACGCAGAACCCCGAUUGCGAAGGCAGCCUGCCAAGCCAUGACUGACGCUGAUGCACGAAAGCGUGGGAAUCAAACAGGAUUAGAUACCCCAGUAGUC
rnacentral:rRNA from 1 species